rnacentral:rRNA from 1 species
AACGUAGGACGCAAGCGUUAUCCGGAGUUACUGGGCGUAAAGCGCGGGCAGGCGGCUCGAAACGUCUGAUGUGAAAUCUCCUCGCUCAACGGGGAGAGGCCAUUGGAAACGGUCGGGCUGGAGGGCAGUAGAGGUCGGCGGAAUUCCGGGUGGAGUGGUGAAAUGCGUAGAGAUCCGGAGGAACACCAGAGGCGAAGGCGGCCGACUGGGCUGCACCUGACGCUGAGCCGCGAAAGCCAGGGGAGCGAACGGG